rnacentral:miRNA from 1 species
AUUUUGAUUGGUGCCAACUAA